AGCUAUAUCGCGACGAAACACCGGUUCCCGUAUGAUCACCGAAGUUAAGCAACGUCGAGCUUGGUCAGUACCUAAAUGGAUGACUGCUUGAGAAUACCAGGUGCU